UGACCAGUAAAAAGAUCAUAACUUAUUAACUUUCCAUUUUUCUCCCAUAAAAAAGAGAAGAACAAGAAAUGCAGCUAGUUGACAGUAGUGCCCAACAGCCACAUUUUCAGUAGCACGGCAUCUGAGACCGAGGUUAUUCAAGAAAAAAACACUGUCCCAAUUAACGUUGAUUAAUUGUAAACUAGCUGCUUUGAUUCUGCGCAGGCGGCACAACACAAAAAAAUCAAAAUUCAAAGCUUUUUCUGAUAAAUUAAAGGGUCAAGAUUCCUAAUACAUCCUUUACAUUCAGAAAUGACGACUCCUCUUCUACCCCGGACCAAGUCUCAAUACGGACUCUUGCCUAUCCAGGUAGCAUAAAGUAAGGACGGAUAGAUCAUGGCUUGCCUGUAAUCACAAAAAUUUUACAUCACGGUUACUCAGUUUAUUUAUUUGGAUGGCCGACCUCUGUUUCAUGAACUUGCUUUCUCCCACGACCAAGAAAUGUCAACAAGAUUGAGUUGUAACAAGUAAAAUGAUCUUAUCUAGCUGAUAAAUUGUACUUGGAUUGAGUUUUGCUAAAUGCAAACCAUCUCAUUUGGUCAGACACAUGGAAUUUUACGCUUACACGACAGGGCAAGGGAGCUGUCUGUACUAUACGCUGCCAUGUCUUAACACAUGUCAUUUUUUAAUUAAUAGAAGCUAACGUAGUGGAUAUAUACGAAUACCUGUCAAUACGUAAUUAAUUAAUGAAACCAAUCUGAGAACAUCAAUCUUCAAUGCCAAUCUCAUCCUGCUUGCCCCACUAAGCAUGUACAAUCUUUGUAUUAUAUAUAUAUAUAUACAUACACACUCAAGUUUAAGAGCUAAGGGACGCCCAAAAUUUUGUCUUCGAAGAAUGCUGAAAUAAUGGAUGACAUAAAAUAAGCUACAAUUGGCUAAUUAAUCAGAUAAGCAACAUGUGAGGAUUUAAUGCCCAGUGAUUGGGAACAUGUAAAAAUUUUGUUAGAAGUUACGUUUUUCGUUACCUCCAUAGGAGGCUGGCAAACUCUUUGAUUUCACCUUGAAUAGGUGCCAGUGUUAGGAAAUUGGUGGGUGCAGCAGGACCGCAGCUAAAAUAAAAUUAGAAAUAAAAUAAAGAACAAGCACAAUAGAGGACACCAGAAAAUUACGUGGUUCGGCUUUUAACCUACAUCCACGGGCGAAGACAGAAGGAAAUAUUUUACUAGUGAAAAGGAGUUACAAGUAUUGUAGUAUUUUAGCUCAUUUCCCAAAACCCCAAUACACCCAAACUCUCAAAUCACUAUAACUCUUAAAAAAAAAAAAACCCUCUCUAAAUAAAGAAAAGAACUGAAG
rnacentral:lncRNA from 1 species